GAUGAACGCUGGCGGCGUGCCUAAUACAUGCAAGUCGAGCGAACGGACGAGGAGCUUGCUCCUUUGACGUUAGCGGCGGACGGGUGAGUAACACGUGGAUAACCUACCUAUAAGACUGGGAUAACUUCGGGAAACCGGAGCUAAUACCGGAUAAUCUAUUGAACCGCAUGGUUCAAUAGUGAAAGACGGUUUUGCUGUCACUUAUAGAUGGAUCCGCGCCGCAUUAGCUAGUUGGUAAGGUAACGGCUUACCAAGGCAACGAUGCGUAGCCGACCUGAGAGGGUGAUCGGCCACACUGGAACUGAGACACGGUCCAGACUCCUACGGGAGGCAGCAGUAGGGAAUCGUCCGCAAUGGGCGAAAGCCUGACGGAGCAACGCCGCGUGAGUGAUGAAGGUCUUCGGAUCGUAAAACUCUGUUAUUAGGGAAGAACAAAUGUGUAAGUAACUAUGCACGUCUUGACGGUACCUAAUCAGAAAGCCACGGCUAACUACGUG
rnacentral:rRNA from 1 species